CUAGUACUCCCUCCGUCCCAAAAUUAUUGUCUUAGAUUUAUCUAGAUACGGAUGUAUCUAACACUAAAAUGUGAAUAGAUACAUCCGUAUGUAGACAAAUCUAAGACAAGAAUUUUGGGACGGAGGGAGUAUCUG
rnacentral:pre_miRNA from 1 species